CCUCAGAGUUGUGUUCCUCUGCUGAAGCUGCUCACACGCCUGCAAGACACAGCACUUCUGUUCUUCUCCCUCCUCUUCAUCCUCCUGUCUUCAUCGUCAGAGGAAGCCUGACACACACGCGCACAAAAUUGGAAGUUUGAAGCCAGGAAGGUAGCACUUACAGCUUUCUUCAAAAUGACGCCUCUGAGGGAGGUUAGUGGGAGGUGGCCAUCCCCUGCUCGCCGUCCCCUGUCGCGGCCCGCCGGUCAUGGCGGAGAGGAGAACCGAGCU